rnacentral:ncRNA from 1 species
GUAUCCAUGGAGGGCAAGUCUGGUGCCAGCAGCCGCGGUAAUUCCAGCUCCAAAACUAUAUAUUUAAGUUGUUGCGGUUAAAAAGCUCGUAGUUGGAUUUUGGGCGCAGGCGGCCGGUCCGUCGCAAGGCGUGUACUGGACGUCCUGGCCUUCCCUCCGGUUCUCCGCCGGUGCUCUUGACUGAGUGUCGGCGGCGGCCGGAACGUUUACUUUGAAAAAAUUAGAGUGUUCAAAGCAGGCUCUCGAGCCUGGAUAAUGGUGCAUGGAAUAAUGGAAUAGGACCUCGGUUCUAUUUUGUUGGUUUUCGGAGCGCGAGGUAAUGAUUAAGAGGGACAGACGGGGGCAUUCGUACUGUGCCGUUAGAGGUGAAAUUCUUGGAUCGGCGCAAGACGAACGACUGCGAAAGCAUUUGCCAAGAAUGUUUUCUUUAAUCAAGAGCGAAAGUCAGAGGUUCGAAGACGAUCAGAUACCGUCCUAGUUCUGACUAUAAACGAUGCCAACUAGCGAUCGGGGGGCGUUACAUUGACGACCCCUCCGGCAGCUUACGGGAAACCAAAGUCUUUGGGUUCCGGGGGAAGUAUGGUUGCAAAGCUGAAACUUAAAGGAAUUGACGGAAGGGCACCACCAGGAGUGGAGCCUGCGGCUUAAUUUGACUCAACACGGGAAAUCUCACCCGGCCCGGACACAGUGAGGAUUGACAGAUUGAGAGCUCUUUCUUGAUUCUGUGGGU